UACGUAGGGUGCAAGCGUUAAUCGGAAUUACUGGGCGUAAAGCGUGCGCAGGCGGUUUUGUAAGACUGUCGUGAAAUCCCCGGGCUUAACCUGGGAAUGGCGAUGGUGACUGCAAGGCUAGAGUUUGGCAGAGGGGGGUAGAAUUCCACGUGUAGCAGUGAAAUGCGUAGAGAUGUGGAGGAACACCGAUGGCGAAGGCAGCCCCCUGGGUCAAGACUGACGCUGAGGCGCGAAAGCGUGGGGAGCAAACAGG
rnacentral:rRNA from 1 species